rnacentral:rRNA from 1 species
AAUACAGAGGUCUCGAGCGUUGUUCGGAUUCAUUGGGCGUAAAGGGUGCGUAGGUGGCGAGGUAAGUCGGAUGUGAAAUCCCGGGGCUCAACCCCGGAACUGCAUUCGAUACUGCCCUGCUAGAGUACUGGAGAGGAGAUUGGAAUUUACGGUGUAGCAGUGAAAUGCGUAGAUAUCGUAAGGAAGACCAGUGACGAAGGCGGAUCUCUGGACAGUUACUGACACUGAGGCACGAAGGCCAGGGGAGCAAACG